rnacentral:lncRNA from 1 species
AACGAUAAAAAGGGUUUAUUUGAUGCAGGUUUUGCACCCGUCACUUAUCUUCUCAAAUCAGUUUUAGAGCCUGAUACAUAUGCAUACAGUUCCAUUCUAGAGAAGGACACUGCUUUAAAAUUAAAGUGUGGUUGUCAAGACCCAUCCCGAAUUUCACCCUGAAACCCAAAAUAAAUCUUGCGGGGACCACUCCCAAUGAAAGAUUUACCGAAAAAUUGGCAAAACCUUCAUUGAAAAUGGGCAACCCUUUCCUGAAAAUUUUCCAAUUUACACUCCUACUAACACACAUCCAACCUUAACUCCUGGAGCCAUCCGCUCCCCGCAAACACAACCAUCCCAACAUCAACAAAUCAACAUCAUCCAAACAUCACAUAAAAAUCCAGCUAGAACAGUAAAUCUUAUCCUUCAGACAUUCUAAACAAAAAUCAACAGACCGUGCACACUACCAAAAAAAUUUAAAUUAAUCCCAAGUAUUUAGAGCUACUAGACACUAGCGGAAACAAGAAAACACAGGUAGGUUGAACAGGUAACCUACUGGUGAAAAGUAGUGGAAAUGCGGGUGACUAUGUCUCGCCUCCUACUAGAUCCAACCCGAACUCUACAGACUGGGCAUUUUAAAACGAAGAGCCCAGAGGAAAACAUUUAAUAACGUUAGAGUGAGUGGACAAAAAUAAAUUAAUAAAAUAAAAUAUUUAUGUUUCCCCAAAUCAAUUUCCAAGGAAAAAUCGAAUGCAUGCCGCAAGUGAUAAAAACUUUUAUCUCAUAAAAUAUCGAGCCUCUCAAGCUCUAUCAUAUAUGUAUGUAUUUACACAUGUUCAUACUCCCUAUAUAAAUUCAUGGGUCUAUAUAGGGCUACUACGCUCGCGUCCAACGCUCACGUCACGCCUUAAUGCGGUGCUACAUUACGCCAUUAAGGUGGACAGACGGGUGUAUAAAUAUGUGUCCAUACCCCCUAUAUGAAUUAGACACUCAUAUAAGGCUACUACGCUGGCGUCCAACGCUCACGUCACACCAUAAUGCGACUAUAUGCUAGGCCAUUAAGGUGGAUAGACACAUAGGGCUAGCUAGCAUUUAUAUACAUACUCUCUCGUAACUCUCCAAGAGAAAUAAAAUCGUCAAAAUAAAAUGACGUCAAAAUGC